CUCUCCAUCAGUUUUAGAAAACCCUAAAUUCCUUGCUCUCUGUCUCUCUUCACGCCUCCAUCAUUGUGGAGACCCCCACAGAGGUGUAGGUGAAGGUCAACAAGUACACUCGUUCUAGUGCACCAACACUUUCAUCCUCACUCCUCAUUUUCGAGCGAGGAUUUGCAGAAGUUGCAGCUGAUAUCGGGUGUGAGAGCAUUUUUGAGCGAGCAACAAGGGCUUAUUAUUAAGUGGAAAAAAAGAGGUUCGGUGAGCCUUAUCGUGCGCUGUUGGAAGCCGUUCGGGCACGGUGACGACUCCGGUAAUGCCGCCGCCACCAAAAGAGAAUGCAAGGACGACCUUCUCUGGUUUCGCGACAUCGAAAAGUUUGCCGCCGACGAUUUCUCCAUGGCUGUCGUCCAGACCAACCAGGUCCUUGAGGACCAAAGCUAGAUCAAGUCCGGCGACUUCGACACCUCGUCGACGUGUACGACGGCCAGGGGAUGGUGGACCCUAAGCAGGUUCCGUUGGACUACGUUCUCUUCCAACCCAACUAGGGGAUGGUGGACCCCUCCAGUAACCUCCACUAUGAUAACAUGCUUUUCGCGCAGAUCGAUGUUGUGUAUUCCGCGUUGGACUCCUUGGGCUACAAGAAGUUGCUGGUUCACAUCUUAGGAACCGGUUGGCCUUCCAAGGGGGAUCUGGACGAAGCUGGUGCAAACCUCGAGAAUGCCAAGAACUAUAAUGGGAAUCUUAUUAAGAUGGCUAUGAGCUACUCUGUCCUAUGUUUUUUGUGCGAUUGCCGCCAAAUCCACCUCUAGCAAUACUCUUCUUCACUCCGUUCCUCUCUUUGUCUCUGUCUCUGUCUCUCUUCAUUUUUUAGUUUUUGUUUCCUUUGUAAUUCAAUUCCGUGAUCUGAAAUUGCAGGAUGAUAAGGUUGUUGCUUUUCAGGACAUUAAUCCAUCAGCUUUCAGGCAUUACUUGGUUGUUCCUGUGGCGCACAUUCCUAUUGUUAAAUAUCUUCAGAGGAAAAUUGACGACUAUUCUUGGGGUAAAGAAACUGAUAGCUGUUGUCACUUCAGAUUAUAAGAUUUAUGUGGGGAAGACGUUAUUAAAUAGAGAUGCUCCUCAGUCCCAGCAGUAUAGGCUAAGCAUGGAUUGAAUACAUGAGCUUAAAGUGCCUUGUACUAGUGAUAAGGGUGUUGGGCAGAGUCAUGUUUGUUUCAUGCAUAUUUGGACUAAUAGGUAUUUUCAUUUAGCUUGAAUAUGAUGGUAUGUAUGAAGUAUUCACUCCAUUUCUUGCUACUUGAUUUGAGAUUGGAUAAUUAGACUAUGGGUGGUAUUAGGUUUGGGGUUAAUGUGUAAAUUAUUUUUUGUUUUUCUAUAUGUGAUUUUUUUGUUAUUGAUCUUUAUUUGAGCAUACUUGUUUGACUUUUUUUUGAAAUUGUAAUAGGUUUGAAUAUUAUUUUCUCAAAUGUCACCGUUUUUCAAUUAUGGGUGCAUGUGUCAUGAGUUUUUUUUUUCUCUUUUAAGUGAGAAGUAUGACUUCAACUUAUGUAUGUAAUUUUGCAAAUAUUUUUUGUUUAUACACUUAGAAGUCAAGUUUUCUAUACUUAACUUCUUAACAUGAAAAAUAAAAUAAUGAAAAAUUACACAUAGAAAUUGAGGUGAUCAAACUUGACUUCUCACCUAAAAAAACUUGUGGCAUAUGCAAAAGAAAAACUCUUAAAAAUUAAUAUUUCUUGAAUAGUGUAUUAUUAAGUCUUAAGUUUUGCAAUAAAUAAAUGCAAAAUAAAAACUCUUAAAAAUGUUUUCUAAAAUUUUUCUUAAUUCUUUCUUCGUUAAAAAAAACUACCUUAUAAAAUUGGGGUGAUUGUGGUGUACUUUUCAUGAUGUUGACCUUGGAAGAAAUUUUCUUGUAAAAGCACUGUAAAUGAGUGAAGAAUUAAAAGUGUUUAUCUAAGACACAUUUGAUUAACUAGGAGGACAUGUGCAAAUGGUGCUAGACAUGGCCAUAGACCUAUAGUGAUGGAAUUGUCUUAGGGUCCAUACAGAUGGACCUGAAGCUACAGUGAGAUCCAAACCAAAUAAUGAUAUUUUGACUUACAUUUUCGUCAAAUUGAAUAUAUUUUCUUUUAUCCUUGACCUUGCUCAAACCUAUAAUUAUUUCCUGACAACAUAAAUAAACAAAGAGAUUCCAAGAUUCAUAUUCACUUCCAUAUUUUCCUCUCACCUUUGUCUUCGAUGUGGCAGCUUUGCAGUGGAAUUGAUGAAAAUGUAAUUGGAGCGUGUGCACAACUUAUGUUUGUAGUAAGAAAGCUUUUUGAAGUAAUGGUUAGUGGGUAUGUACCAAAUUGGGGCCUGUGCUUAUUCAUGCCAUUUAGGCAAGUAGCUUUUGGACACUCCAUAUGGAAUUGAGCACCCAUAUUCAUGAUAAUAUGAGAGUCUAACCUUUGCUGAAUUUUUUAUUUCCUAACAAUCGUUUCUCUUCUAACAUUUUGUGGGCUGCUACAUGCAUUCAUAUAAUUCCAAUCCAUUCCUUUUGAAUCCUUUA